GCCUGGUGGUUCCUAGACUCAGCUCUCACAUGCUGAACUGUGGGUUAUGAUUAACAGGCAGAUAUUAAUUCUGCAAUUUAUGCAUGGGAGCUGCCAGUGUAGCAGCGUUCCAUAGCCCGGUUGCAGGCACACGG